rnacentral:lncRNA from 1 species
GAGAGCUUAGGUGUCCUGUCUGAGAGUUCAGUGAACAGUGUCUUGGAAGAACCUGAGUAGAGUGUGUGUGAUAUCUUGGAAGGAUUAGAAAUUGGAGUAAUGAUCAUUUAUCUUGGUAAAAAGCCCUUAGCUUCUGUGUUAUUCACAGUUCUCCAGAGAGCAGACCAAUGGGAAAUAUAUCUAUAUCGAUAUAUGCAUAUAAAAUAAGAAAUUAGCUCAUGUGAUUAUGGAGGCUGAGAAAUCCCACGACCUGCCAUCUACAAGUUGGACUAGACUCUAAGCUCCUUGAACAAGGCAGACUAGGAAAGCUGGUGGUGUACUUCCAGUAUGAGCCCGAAGGCCUGAGAACUAGAGGAGCCAAUGGUGUAACUCCCAGUCUGAGUGCAGUAGAGGAUCAGAAGAGAUGUCCCAGCUCCAGCAGUGAGGGAGAAAAGAAGGACAAAUUCCUUCCUCUGCAUAUUGUUCUAUUCAGACCCUCAAUAGGUUAAAUGAUGCCCACUCUCAUUAAAGAGGACCAUCUACUUUACGGAACUGCUAAGUUUGACAUACAAAGGACCAAUGGGAUACAUUGCUGAUGAAGGAGAAGGAGGUCUAACCACUUUGAAAAACAAUUUGAAAUUCAACUGUGCAGAGAAAAUGACUGGUCAGGCCACUCACAGUGGGUCACUCUUGGAAUCCCUUGCUGAGGUGGGAGGACUGCUUGAGCUCAGGAGCUUGAGACCAACCUGGAAAACAUAAUGAGACUGAGACCUCGUCUCUUCUAAAAAGAAAAAAAAAUUAGCAGAGCACGGUGGCAUGUGCCUAUAGUCCCAGCUACUCUGGAGGGUGAGGCAUGAGGAUCAACUGAGCCCAGGAGUUGGAGGCUGCAGCAAGCUGUGAUCAUCACA